CAGUCGCCGCGGUAAUACGUAGGGUGCAAGCGUUAAUCGGAAUUACUGGGCGUAAAGCGUGCGCAGGCGGUUAUAUAAGACAGAUGUGAAAUCCCCGGGCUCAACCUGGGAACUGCAUUUGUGACUGUAUAGCUAGAGUACGGCAGAGGGGGAUGGAAUUCCGCGUGUAGCAGUGAAAUGCGUAGAUAUGCGGAGGAACACCGAUGGCGAAGGCAAUCCCCUGGGCCUGUACUGACGCUCAUGCACGAAAGCGUGGGGAGCAAACAGGAUUAGAUACCCGCGUAGUCCCUGUCUCUUAUAC
rnacentral:rRNA from 1 species